ACGAUUUGCCAUCAGGACAGCCCAAAACUUCAAUAUGGCCUGCACGAAAAUGAUUUUGACACCUCAACCAAGCAUUAACAGUUAGCUGUUGUGCUAACUGCUAACUGUAGGAGGCGCUGCACCCUUGCACAACAUCUAGUCAAGAACAACUGGCCGAAACAUUGGCACACAUGAAAUGAAGCUGAUGGAUGAAUGGUUCUUUGCCCGACUUUGAGCUGCAGCGUGUCAAAAGAUUCAAGCAUGCAUUCAUCACCGUCAACCAUGACACAUUGGAACACAAUGUGACUAAUCCAGAGUCACUGCAUGGUCGUUUUGCACACAAGAGGAAGGAUAAGACAAAACGUGGAGGACGUGGAGCUGACAUUGACACCUUCAUCCCACCUCACUGCAACUCAAGCGCAAAGCCAUGCAACAUGACAUUGAAAUGCAAACCAUGGACAACACGUCCCCAUCAGCAAAUGUGUCAAGUUCACCCCCCCCCCAAAAAAAAAAACGCACCACAGCACCGUGACUGUGAGGGUUUAACUGUUUUGUAAAGCGUUUUGGUACAACUGCAACUGUUGUGUAAGCGCUAUAUAAAUCUGGCUGUAUUGUAUUGUUUCUGCAUUCAAAUAAAAUAAAGAACCAGAUCACCACAGGGAUGCCAAGAAUCAGGCGGAUUUUGGAUCUGCUGGGAAAAAAAAGUCAUGCAAACAUCACAUGACCAAACCUAGAAAACAGGUGAGCUGUGGCGGCUGUUACCAGAGCAACUGUGAUGUCAUUUUCAGGCGACAGCAAGUGGCGAACCGGCCGUCCCCUGAGUUGGGUAAAAACAGAUGGAUUCUUCUGCUGAAAUCAUCUUCCACAAACGUCAUAUUAAUCAGAAUUCUCCUUUUUGACGAGUGGA